CCAGACUCCUACGGGAGGCAGCAGUGGGGGAUAUUGCACAAUGGGGGAAACCCUGAUGCAGCGACGCCGCGUGGGUGAAGAAGCGCCUCGGCGCGUAAAGCCCUGUCAGCAGGGAAGAAAAUGACGGUACCUGAAGAAGAAGCCCCGGCUGACUACGUGCCAGCAGCCGCGGUAAUACGUAGGGGGCAAGCGUUAUCCGGAUUUACUGGGUGUAAAGGGAGCGUAGGUGGCAUGGCAAGCCAGAAGUGAAAACCCGGGGCUUAACCCCGCGGAUUGCUUUUGGAACUGUCAGGCUGGAGUGCAGGAGGGGCAGGCGGAAUUCCUGGUGUAGCGGUGAAAUGCGUAGAUAUCAGGAGGAACACCGGUGGCGAAGGCGGCCUGCUGGACUGUAACUGACACUGAGGCUCGAAAGCGUGGGGAGCAAACAGGAUUAGAUACCCGUGUAAU
rnacentral:rRNA from 1 species